CAGGGAAGCGGAGCGGGACCGCCGUGUUCCCCUCGAUUUGCACCGUCACUCGGGCCGUUGGGAAGGCAGAGGGGAGGCGCUCCGCGUGCCUCCGUGUACCUGGAUCUGAGUGCAGAAGUGUGUAUGAAUGCCUGUGCCGCUGUGUUGGUAAACUUCAUGGGAUGGUAACUUGACUAAAGACAAUCUGGAGAAGCGGGGAGUGAGGCGGUGUAUAUAUGAGGAGUUUGUCGGUGUAUGUGUGCGUGUGUUUAGGUGUAAGAACACACCUCCGUUCAAGGGGCUUUGGAGUGUUUGCCGGUGCGACAGCGGAGGAAGAGCAGACCCUUUGAGGCUGCCUGUAUCCUGCUGCUCUGUUAGCGUCUGAGUCACUGGGUUAGUGGUUGUCGAAGUGUCGCCCAGAUCAACUGUAGAUCUCCCAGCCCCGCGAGCCCAGCCGUGGGCCCCGCGUCGCCGCAGCC